rnacentral:tRNA from 1 species
GGAGAGAUGGCCGAGUGGCUGAAGGCGGCGGUUUGCUAAACCGUUAUAGGGCCUAAUAGCUCUAUCAAGGGUUCGAAUCCCUUUCUCUCCGCCA